GAACGGUCCCACGUCCCAUAGAGGGUUGCAGGCCCGUAACAUAAGCGGCGAGUGCUAGAGCGCACGGCUACGGAGAGUCGGGUUGUUUGGAAGCGCAACCUAAAGUCGGUGGUAUGCUCCAUCGAAGGCUAAAUACGGCCGCGAGUCCGAUAGCGANNNNNNNCCGUGAGGGAAAAUUGAAAAGCACUUUGAAGAGAGAGUGAAACAGUGCGUGAAACCGCUCAGAGGUAAGCGGAUGGGCCCUCGAAGAUGUGCUAGUGGAUUCAGCUGUUGUGCGGCAGCACGGCUGCGGUGUGUUGACCAGGCUUUCGAGCUAUGGCUCGCACUGUAGUGUUGAAUGUUGUUGUGCGCGGCAGUGUUUUUCCAUUGGCCGUACGUCAUCACUGUUGCUGAGAUUUUGUGUGUGCCCGUGGGUGCUGGCGAACGCUUGAUCAUAGGUCUCUUUUGACUUGUGCUCGAGACGCUUGCCGGUGUCGUAUCACGAGAGUGUUUAAGCAGCACGCGGUAACAGAGCAGAGCAAGGCUAGCGCCGCACUUGUGCGUCGUGGCUGUGUGCUUACUGGUUGUGAGUGAGUUCGCGAGUCGCAAGGCUCGCUGCGCGCUUACGGCUGUAAAUCGCGCAGUCAAACGGCAAGGCGCGUGCCGCAAGUCUCGAUGGCGAGUAGAGACGGUUCCCCAUCCAUCCCGUCUUGAAACACGGACCAAGGAGUUCAGACUGCGCGCAAGUCGUUGGGUGUUUUGUAUACCCGAAGGCGCAGUGAAAGCAAGAGAUUUGCUAAGGGUAAAUCGUUUGGCGGGAUCUUUGCUUGCCGCGCAGCUUUGUGUGCGGUAGGUGAAGCGCACCGCCGGCCCGCUUUAGUACCACGUGUCGUAAGCGGAGUUUUAGCGUGCAAUUUGAGACCCGAAAGAUGGUGAACUAUGCCUGAGCAGGAUGAAGCCAGGGGAAACUCUGGUGGAAGUCCGUAGCGAUUCUGACGUGCAAAUCGAUCGUCUGACUUGGGUAUAGGGGCGAAAGACUAAUCGAACCGUCUAAUAGCUGGUUCCCUCCGAAGUUUCCCUCAGGAUAGCUGGCGCUCGUGUGAAAAAUCACGACAGUGUCUCCCGGUAAAGCGAAUGAUUAGAGGUCUUGGGGACGAAACGUCCUCAACCUAUUCUCAAACUUUAAAUGGGUGAGAGGUGUGGCUUACUUAAUUUUGAAGUCCGCACAUAACUCGCUCGCAUGUCUGAGUGCCAAGUGGGCCAUUUUUGGUAAGCAGAACUGGCGCUGUGGGAUGAACCGAACGCUAAGUUAAGGCGCCCGAGUGUGACGCUCAUGAGACCCCACAAAAGGUGUUGGUUGCUAUAGACAGCAGGACGGUGGGCAUGGAAGUCGCAAUCCGCUAAGGAGUGUGUAACAACUCACCUGCCGAAGCAACUAGCCCUGAAAAUGGAUGGCGCUGUAGCGUUACGCCUAUACUUAGCUGUUGCGGCACGCAGUGUUGUGCGCAAACUUUUUACAAAGUUGCAACACGCGCGAAUCAUGCCGCAACAAGUAGGAGGGUCGCGGCGGUACGCAUUGAAGGGUUAGCGGCGUGAGCCGGCCUGGAGCUGCCGUCGGUGCAGAUCUUGGUGGUAGUAGCAAAUACUCAAGCGAGAACCUUGAGGACUGAAGUGGAGAAGGGUUCCAUGUGAACAGCAGUUGAACAUGGGUCAGUCGAUCCUAAGGCAUCGGCGAAGGCCGUUCAGAAGCGGUGUCGGAGUUCAAAAACGUGUGUGUGCGGUGCGUUUCGGCGUGUCGUGUGCGCGCGCAGGCUGUUUACUUGUCAUGGGUUUUCAGUCGCCGCACCUGCCGAAAGGGAAUCGGGUUAAUAUUCCCGAACCCAGCAACGGAGAUUGCCCGUCUACGGCCCGUUAGUUUCGGCUAGCG
rnacentral:rRNA from 1 species